CGCGAAUCGAACAAGUAGUGGGGGGACUCCCUCACGAAACGUUGGUCGCCGAAUGCGCUUCGACUGAAAUUCCGCUGAAAAAACCGCGGCGAAUAACGCAUCGAGCCGGACGCGAGCGAGUCCCGUUUUCCCGUUUGCGAGUGCGUUUGGUCGGCUGCUGCGGUAGGCCGCAACGUGUCGUGGCCAGUGUCAUCGUGGAACAAGCUGCAGGUGUGUUUGCAGAGAGGCAAAGAGAAGAGGGGAGUCGCGGUCACGUUGAGCGCGGACGUCGAGGGAUGCGACUUCCUGGAUUCGCGAGUGACAGCCGCGGCGGCACGGCUGCAGUGGCCACGUAGUCUCGCGUGCACGCACACGGGACGAGAACAAUAAGUACACAGUGCGUGCGCGUCCGUCGUCGUCGUCGUUGGUGCUACGUGCGCGCGAGAACCGACUGCCGGGAAUGCCGGUGUGAAGUGAGCAACGAGUGAGCGCCCUGCGAGAAACGCUCCGCGAUCAUCGCGUGUAACUCACCUGUCGACUCGAGGAUACGCACAGAACAAGGCAAAAUGGCACAAAUGGAGCAGCAGUUACCGCUUCCAAUGCCAGAUUUAAGUACCCUUCGUAUAACUACAGCCGUUUCCAUGCUGGGCAAAGCAUAUGGAUGUGGCCAAUGUAGUGGUGAGUUCCGUUUGUUUAAACAACAACGAGAUACGAUAGAAAUUUCAGACUUUUGUGUUGCAUAUUUUUACGACUAUUAUAACAAAAUGAAAGUGCGUGCAAAAUUUAUCUCCUCUAAUUCGAAGCACUUUCGUGCUUGCAUUAUCUGAUUAUCCGUACAAACGCACACCCUCAGAAAGGAUUUUUCUGAUAACAAGACGAAAAA